GUCUCGGAGAAAUGGGCUGGUCGCUCC
rnacentral:piRNA from 1 species